UGGGGAAUUUUGGACAAUGGGGGAAACCCUGAUCCAGCCAUGCCGCGUGAGUGAAGAAGGCCUUCGGGUUGUAAAGCUCUUUUGGUCGGAAAGAAGGGGUUCUGGUGAAUAACUGGGAUCUUUGACGGUACCGGCAGAAUAAGCACCGGCUAACUACGUGCCAGCAGCCGCGGUAAUACGUAGGGUGCGAGCGUUAAUCGGAAUUACUGGGCGUAAAGAGUGCGUAGGCGGUUUCUCAAGUCCGCUGUGAAAUCCCCGGGCUCAACCUGGGAAUGGCAGUGGAAACUAGGAGACUUGAAUCUGGCAGAGGGGGGUGGAAUUCCACGUGUAGCAGUGAAAUGCGUAGAGAUGUGGAGGAACACCGAUGGCGAAGGCAGCCCCCUGGGCUGAGAUUGACGCUCAGGCACGAAAGCGUGGGGAGCAAACAG
rnacentral:rRNA from 1 species